rnacentral:siRNA from 1 species
AGACAUAGUAAGGAUUGACA